rnacentral:rRNA from 1 species
CCUACGGGAGGCAGCAGUGGGGAAUAUUGGGCAAUGGGCGCAAGCCUGACCCAGCAACGCCGCGUGAAGGAAGAAGGCUUUCGGGUUGUAAACUUCUUUUGUCAGGGACGAAGCAAGUGACGGUACCUGACGAAUAAGCCACGGCUAACUACGUGCCAGCAGCAGCGGUAAUACGUAGGUGGCAAGCGUUAUCCGGAUUGAUUGGGGGUAAAGGGCGUGUAGGCGGGAAUGCAAGUCAGGUGUGAAAACUAUGGGCUCAACCCAUAGCCUGCAUUUGAACAUGUAUUUCUUGAGUGCUGGAGAGGUAAUCGGAAUUCCGUGUGUAGCGGUGAAAUGCGUAGAUAUACGGAGGAACACCAGUGGCGAAGGCGGAUUGCUGGACAGUAACUGACGCUGAGGCGCGAAAGCGUGGGGAGCAAACAGGAUUAGAUACCCGAGUAGUC